UCCAAACCGCCUCCAGCCACCUCGGGCCUCCCCAGCGCACCCGACGAGACGCCUCGACGUCCGAGACACGGCAGCUGGUCGGCCCCCUCCUUCCUCUCUCUUUCCUGGCCCUACUCACACGCGCACCAUGGCCGCCCGAGAGCUCCAAUGAGCACACUCACACGCGCCAUGCCCUGACGCUCCCCCGCUCCUUCUCUCCCUUCCUCUGGGCGUAGACCACCCCUACGAACACCCCGGACACGCCCACGUGAGCCCCCGUGACAUACAGCGACGACAACAACCUCGCCGGCGCAUGGUUCCACGGCAAGCCCUGGCCCGGCUAUAUAAGACCUCCCCGAGGCCUCCUCUCCUCACCACUCGACCUCUGCAGCUCCAAAACACCCCCUGAACCACCCACUCCUCUCCAGAAGCACCCGAGCUCGAGAUCGAGCUCGCGCUCCGCCGCUUUGGCUCGCCGGAGUUCGCGAGGUACAUGCCUCCCUCGCUCCUUCUCUGCCUCGAUCUGGAACCCCCGAACACCCCUGAUUGUUUUCCCCAUGUUUCCCCUCUCUGUAGCUGCCGGAAACAGCCGGAACCGUCGCCACCCGAAGCUCCUCCGCCGCGUGACCUCGUCGCCGGCGAACUAGGCCACCCCGGCGACCGCAACCACCUCCACCUGCACGGCGACUCUGCGCUGAGUCCAAUCCUGCCCUCCUCUCGCCUCGCCGUGCCCUGCAUUGUCGCCGGUGAGCCCGUCGGCCCUCUGUCGCAGGGUUAGGGAUGACAGGUGGGUCCCUCUUGUCAGCCUCUCCUCUCCAUCGACCCUCUCUCUCUCGCUGACGCAUGGGCCCCGCCCGUCAGGUUUAAACCUGGCCCGCGCGUGCACCAGUGCGCUGGGCCGCCUCUCUGGCUGGGCCUGCUGCGCUGCGGCUGUUCUGGCCCAGCAGGCACAUUACCCUUCUCCUUUUUCUUUUUUGUCAAACUUGUAAAAAUUCCAUAGGAUUAAAUAUUCAUCCAAAUGCAAUAAUUCCAACUCCCAUAUUUUUGUAAAAAUCCCACCUAUUUAAUGGUAUAACUUUCAUUCAUGUCCAACCAACUUUUAUGUACUGUUCAUAUUCAAAUUCAAAUUUGAAUAUAUUUAAACCCCUCUGAAAAUCCAUUUCAUCUAUUCUGCUACUCCAAGUCAAAAACUAGGAAUUUCCCCUUCUUAGUUUUCACCCUAGUAUUUAAAAAAAAUGAGUUGACAUUUUUCUGAGCACUUUGGUUUUUCAGUUUUAUUACUGCCUUAUUUUUCUCGUUAUUAUUUUGCGACGAUAGAUUGCGUUGCUAACGAAGGAGUUGGACCAGAAGACUUUGAAGACCUAGAAGACUUUGUUGAGCCAGGCAAGCAGCCCUUUGACCAUACCGUGAAACCUUUUUAUGCAUGCCAUAUAGCUCUUUUAUUGCUUGCAUCGGAGACAUGAUGAUGAGGUGACCACAUGGGGUGGUUUGCCACCGUUACUUCCUCGUUGAUACUUGCAUCGUGCAUGACCCUACCUCCUUAUGAGGUUUAUGCCGGUGGGAGUAGGUAGGAUGCUGGAGUAGUUGCUACGCAAAAUGGGAUGGGCAUAUGCAUGGUAAUGCAGACAAAGUAUUUUCAAAAGACUUUUGUCGAAAACCCCGUCGGGUGCCACUUAUGCCCGAGGGAGAUAAUGAGAUGGGUAACCACUUGAUGAUGAAGUGGUGUACCGAGGCAAGUGUGUGUGUUGUUUCCGAAAACGGAUUAGAUUUAAGAUUUGUCGACUGUCCCAACCUUACAUGCGCAACCACUCUAGCCUUAUAUGGGAAAGGGCAUUAUUGAUUACCUAGGCCGAUAGUAGCUUGGAGCCCGCAUUACUAGUGACGGGAGAGUCGUUGUUGCUCUCUCUCGGGACGGGGUCAUGCCAGGUAGGGCGGCCAUGACUGUUUUUACAGGGCACCGGACACACCGUUGGUACCCCGUGCCAGUGGUAUGUGAUGAAUAUGGGAGCGAGGCUCCACAAUUUUAAGAUGUGAAAUGUUGGGCACGGGGGUUACUACCAAUCGAGUGAACUCUAUGUUAGCGUCGUCUAGGGAAAGAUAGUGAUCGGGUGCUUACCCCGGGUACUUGAGGUACCGUGGGUCGUGGAUGACACGGAAGUUCCCCGGAUCUUGUGGGUAAAGUGCGCAACCUCUGCAGAGUGUAAAACUAUUCGAAUAGCCGUGUCCACGGUCAAGGACAGUUGGGCGAUGCUGCUUAAACUACGUCCAGAAUUUUUCAAACCGCGCGUGUGUGUGUUGGUAAAACUAUUUGGGUUAAGUCAGAUGGCUUGACACGAUGAUCAAGUUGGAUUGGUGUCCAACUCCGCUUAUGUUGAUAUCUGUAAUUUGUUCAUAUGGAUAUCUGUACUCUCAUGAUGCAUACUUCACAGGUUGAUAGAUCAUGUCAUUGCACUCAAAACUAGCUUUCUGCAAACUACCUACUUAGUGCUAUAUCAUUGCAUUAUUGUGCCUUGUUCCAAUCAUGGGUUGCUUGCGAGUACAUUCAAAAUACUCAUUGGCUUUCCACAGGUUAUUUAAUUGGCCAGGCAUGGAAGAAUAGGACUUCAAAGAAGAGUUCUUUGGAGGCAAACAUGUGAACUAGGAUGUUUCCCAGUCAGAAUGCCUGUAGGGUUAAGGCAGAUGGCAUGGGUUCUACUUAUCGACGAAGAUUUCCGCUGCUUAAGUUUAUUUGGUAUUUAGACCUUGUGGCUUUAUCUAUGUAAGACUUGACCAUAAUGGUCAUAAUUUGUGUAAGACGGUAUGUAUGGAUGUAAGACUCUUGUUAUUCAGCUUCUGUGUGUUCAGUGAGCAUUGAUCUCUGGGAUCACUGUACACGUGCAUUCGGUGAUCUCGACUUAUG
rnacentral:lncRNA from 1 species